rnacentral:sRNA from 1 species
GCGGAGGAAAAGAAACCAACAGGGAUUGCCCUAGUAACGGCGAGUGAAGCGGCAACAGCUCAAAUUUGAAAUCUGGCGUCUUUGGCGUCCGAGUUGUAAUUUGCAGAGGGCGCUUUGGCAUUGGCAGCGGUCCAAGUUCCUUGGAACAGGACGUCACAGAGGGUGAGAAUCCCGUACGUGGUCGCUAGCCUUUACCGUGUAAAGCCCCUUCGACGAGUCGAGUUGUUUGGGAAUGCAGCUCUAAAUGGGAGGUAAAUUUCUUCUAAAGCUAAAUACUGGCCAGAGACCGAUAGCGCACAAGUAGAGUGAUCGAAAGAUGAAAAGCACUUUGGAAAGAGAGUUAAAAAGCACGUGAAAUUGUUGAAAGGGAAGCGCUUGCAGCCAGACUUGCCUGUAGUUGCUCAUCCGGGUUUUUACCCGGUGCACUCUUCUACGGGCAGGCCAGCAUCAGUUUGGGCGGUGGAUAAAGGUCUCUGUCAUGUACCUCCUCUCGGGGAGAACUUAUAGGGGAGACGACAUGCAACCAGCCCGGACUGAGGUCCGCGCAUCUGCUAGGAUGCUGGCGUAAUGGCUGUAAGCGGCCCGUCUUGAAACACGGACCAAGGAGUCUAACAUCUAUGCGAGUGUUUGGGUGUCAAGCCCGAGCGCGUAAUGAAAGUGAACGGAGGUGGGAACCUUUCGGGGUGCACCAUCGACCGAUCCUGAUGUCUUCGGAUGGAUUUGAGUAAGAGCAUAGCUGUUGGGACCCGAAAGAUGGUGAACUAUGCUUGAAUAGGGUGAAGCCAGAGGAAACUCUGGUGGAGGCUCGCAGCGGUUCUGACGUGCAAAUCGAUCGUCAAAUUUGGGCAUAGGGGCGAAAGACUAAUCGAACUAUCUAGUAGCUGGUUCUGCG